AUUGAACGCUGGCGGCAGGCCUAACACAUGCAAGUCGAGCGAGCGGCGGACGGGUGAGUAGAGUAGGGGGUUCUGCGUGAUGGCGGGGGCUAACUACUUGAAACGGUAGCUGAUACCGCAUACAAACAGAUGCACAAAUUUGUGAUUAGCUAGUGGGUAAGGUAACGGCUUCCCAAGGCGAAGAUCCCUAGCUGGUUUGAGAGGAUGAUCGGCCACACUGGGACUGAGACACGGCCCAGACUCCUACGGGAGGCAGCAGUGGGGAAUAUUGCACAAUGGGCGCAAGCCUGAUGCAGCCAUGCCGCGUGUAUGAAGAAGGCUUUCGGGUUGUAAAGUACUGUCAGUCGGGAAGCGUUAAUGAAAGAGGAAGCACCGGCUAACUCCGUGCCAGCCGCCGCGGUAAUUC
rnacentral:rRNA from 1 species